CAUCCAUUCUCCUGUUGGUGGACAUUUAAAUCGUUUCACUACUAUAAGCCAUGUUGCUAAGAACAUUCUCGGGCAGACUCAGGAUAAUUUUACGCAUAUAUAACAUAAACAUGAGAUUUAACAUAAGAUACACGUUCGCAAACUAUACGAUGAAGAGAGCCAAGAAUUUCAAGAAAGUACAGAAGACCACUGGCUGUUCCGAGCAAAGUGAGGCUACUUUCAUUAGGAAGGAUUUCGUGAAGGCUCCAGUGACAGAGGGACAUUCGUCGCUACAGUAAGAGAUCACACAAUUUUAGUCUUUAAUUACUGUGACCCAAUAGUUUCGUGUGUGUCCAUUCCAUUUCCUCAACUGGACUGUGAGCUCCAGGAGGACCGAACCGGGCACCAACAAGGUGAGUAAACACGUGUGUGACCGUGGAGAGUCUGCGGUGGAAGCUGCAGCAACCGACCUCUAGGCUGUUCCAGGCCACCAGACAGUGACAGCGAGAGGAAAGUGUCGGGGCAAGCUGGGCCUAAAUCUCACUUUCCACCUGGAAAGUCAAGGAACCUGAGGAAACGGGGAUGGAUCGAGCACAAACACCUGCCUCGACGUAUCGCAUCACUUUCACUCACAAAGCCGCCAGGUCAGUAGCAGAAAGCCGAAGCGUGGAAGCGAUCCCCGCCCUGAGGGCAGUUCCCCGAUCUGGCUUUUCCAGCGGCGCCUCUUUGCCUUACGCCAAUUCCGUAAAGAGGCGUUAAGGCCAACCGGGCGGCUCCCACAGCUCCAAAGCCUGACGCUAAAUUGCGCGGGGCGAUACGGUCAGCGGCCAUCUUUAAUUCGGGCAAAACCCCACCCUCACUUCCCACCGACCACUCCCUCCCUCCUUCGCCGGGAUUUUCACCGGCAAACGUAACGCCAUUAACUUUAGAGACACUGUUGAAGAAACGCGCAAAGGGGCCUGCCUAUCCAUGACCCCGGAGGCGCCAAAUCCGGCUACUUUAAACAUGGCGGCUAAAUCCGAACAGCAAAACAACGCUGACGCUGAUGAAGUCAUGCUCGAAAUGGAGCUAAGCGGCGGGACCGGAGACGGGGUAGUCUCGCGAGAUCGAAGCCGGCCUCCGCUAGGCCUUGAAGCCUAGUCUGAGGGGGCGGGGGACGGAGGAGGGAGCGGGAGUCGGGCGAGGGCCAGUGGAGGAGUCCGCCCGCUCUCGCGUGCGUAAGCGGGGCAGCGACGCCGGGCGGCUACGCCGCGGAAUCGGCGUAGGCGGCUUUGGAGAAUCGGCGGGCUGUGCUGCGCCGGGGCUGGUCGCCGAGGGGGGAGGGGAUGUCGGUCAGUGCGAGAUCCGCUGCUGCUGAGGAGAGGAGCGUCAACAGCAGCACCAUGGGGAGCUGUCCUGUGCAUUGUAGGAUGUCUAGCAACACCUGUAGCCUCUGACCACCAGAUGCUGGAGCCCUCCUCCUCCAUUCUGACAAUCAAAAAUGUCUGCAGACACUGCUUAAUACCCCUGGAGGGUAAAACUACCACCGACUGAGAACCACUGCACUAGAUGAUGGAGCACCAUUGAAGGAUUGUAGGAGAUGGGAAAAAAACCGUCCCUAACCAUCUUAUUAGCCCAUACAUAGUUCUCCCUUCUGGGACUCUUAUACCACUUAGUACUUCCCAAAUUUAGAAUCAGAAUUACCUAAGUAACUUUAUUUAUUUUGACCAAGUAUUUGUGGGUUUUGGUGAGCAGAGUUGAAGGAAAUGGAGUGAAGUGAUUUGAGUGUUCAGCACCUUCACCUUGUGAGACUUACUUGUCCUUCAAAGCUAAAUAGACUGAGGUCACCAGUUUCUUGAGUAAGUACUAAAAUAUUUACUUACUUAAAGCUUCUACGGGUACAUUUUAAAGCACUAGCUGUUUCAAAGGCAGGGUGAUGCUAGUGUUUCUUUGCGUAAAUGACAUUUUGUAUCCUUAUAUAUUCAAAUUGUUCAUUCACGUAGUAGUUGGAGUUCCUUCUUUUUGAGGGAGACUUGGUAUAUAUUGUCAAUCAGUUUUAAAGAAUAUUAUAAAUACUUUCAGUAAGAUCAUCGUUUAUGUAAGAGGGGCAAAAUCCUCAUAAUAAUUUUAGUGCUUUCUGUUUAUACUGUUAUAUAAGCAAAACAAAACAGAUUACCACCUCAUUUGUUAACAGCAUUCUGGGGCAUUAGGUGAUGUAUACAAGGAAAAAGUUUUCACCAACUAACACAUCUUCAAACGUCAACAUUUUAAAUCAUUUUUUAAUAAAAAAAAUUUCAUAGAUAACCAGGAGGGAAAGAAACUACUUCAGUCACUCUAGGUUAAUUUGUGUUCUUUCUUAAUUACAUAUAUUUUUUCAUGGUUGUAAUUAGUGGUACAUUAGUGGUUAAUGGUUCUUAAAUCUGGUCAGGCAUGGAAACACUUGCCACCCUUAACACUUAUGACACAUAGGCUUGUUAAUUAACCAGAUUCAAGGUGGGGCCCAGAAUGUGCAGCCAGGAUUGAUAACCUCUGAUAUAUAUUUUAUAUUGUGAGGUAAUAUAUCUGAAAGUACUUUGUAAACUCUAAUUUUUUUUAGAAAACCAAAUCAAACCAGUUGCCAUUGGGUUGAUUCUGACUUGUGUCAGUCCUGUAUGUGUCAGAGUGAAAUUGCACUUCAUAGGGUUUUUAAUGGUUGUGAUCUUUCAGGGGUGGAUUGCCAGGCCUUUCUUCUGAGGUGCCUCUUGGUGUAUUAGAACAGCCAACCUUUUUUGUAUCUUUUAUUUGAAUCUGUGUUGAAAGUUUUGGGGUAGGACUUGGAGGUUUCAUUGCUUUUUAAUUGAAGGAUAGGUAUUCUAAGCAUAGUUGAUGUCUAGUGGACUCCAUUUGAACAAAUUAGAAUCCUAGCCGGGAUGUACAAAGGGGACCUUCUUUCCAAUCAUGUCAUUUCUUGGUCAUAUUAUUGCUUCCAGUCUCUUCCUAUUUCUUCUAAUAAAAAUUUGUAAGGUUAUUGUACCUUAAUUUAAGACCACUUUUAUAGACUGACCUGUUGCAGAAAUUUAAAUAUCUUUCCAUUAUUUGCAGUAUGAGUUCCUAGUGUUAUUGUUAAAAAAUACUGUUUUCUGGGCCCUACCAACAAGACUCUAUGGUUCAGUGGUUAAGAGAUCGGCUGGUAACCAAAAGGUCGGCCAUUUGAAUCCACCAGCCACUCCUUGAAACCUUAUGGGGAAGUUCUACUCUGUCUAGAGGGUCACUGUGAGUCAAAAUUGAACUCGACGGCAGUGGGUUUAUCUGUAAGGUAUAAGUCCAGAGGCCUUAAUAAUAGCUGUCAUCCAUUGUACAAUCACUAUAAUUACUGGUAUUUAUCGUACUUAUUAUGUGGGAGGUGCCAGAUCCUUUAUAUUAUUUCAUUUAAACUGUACAAUGAUCUCAUAAGGAAAAAUGUUAUCCCCAUCUAAGGACUCAAGAUAAAGUGACUUACCUCUCUGGUUGCCAAAGAUUUCAUUCUUCUUGCGUAAACAGUCAGUGCCCAUGGAAGUAGCCGUCAAGAAAUCAAACGAUGUAUUGGGCAAAUCUGCUUCAAAAGACCUCUUUAAAAUUUUAAAAAGCAAAGAUAUCACUUUGGUGGCUAGUUGUACCUGACCUAAGUCAUGACAUUUCCAAUUGGUUAAGCUCUUGGCUGCUAACCCAAAGGUUGGUGGUUUGAACCCACCUAGUCGCUCCGCAGGUGAAAGACCUAGCAAUCUGCUUCUGUAAAGAUUACAGCCAAGAAAACCCUAUGGGGCAGUUCUAUUCUGGAGUUUGCUGUGAGUCGAAAAUCGACUUGACGACGGCACCUACAGCAAGAACAUACAUGUACAAAAACUGGACAAUGAAAAAGGAAGACCAGAGAAAAAUUGAUGAACUCGAGUUGUGGUCUUGGUGAAGAAUAUAUCUUUGACUGCCAGAAGAAUGAAAAAAUCUGUCUUGGAGAAAGUACAGCCAGAAUACUCCUUAGAAGUGAGGAUGGUGAGAACUUUGUCUUGCGUACUUUGGACAUGUCAUUAGGAGGGACCAGUUGCUGGAGAAGGACAUCAUGCUUGAUGAAGUGGAAGGUCAGCAAAGAAGAGGAAGACCCUAAAUGAAAUGGAUUGACUCAAUGACUGCAGCACCGGACUCAAACGUGGCAACUAUUGUGAGGAGUGCAUAGGACUGGGCAACGUUUUGUUCUGUUGUGCAUAAGGAGAUGACUCAAUGACACAUAACAAUAACAGCAACUUAACUAGAAAAUAGGUCAAAGUGACGGCAGGUAUUGAAGUUGAGAUCUGUAGCUAUACUUACAACCAAAAACCAAACUCGUUGCCGUUGAGUCGAUUCCGACUCAUGGCGACCCUACAGGACACUGUAGAGCUUCCCCAUAGGGUUUCCAAGGAGCGGCUCGUGGAUUCGAACUGCCGUCCUUUUGGUUAGCAGCCAUAGCUCUUAACCACUGUGCCACCAGGGCUACAGUAGUAACUCAUUAAAAUGGAAUAUAGUUAAUCCUUUUUAAAUUUUGAGUAGGUUCUUGAUACUUUUUAUUCAGGUAUUUUCCUAAGAUCUCAGGAUUGAAAGAUGUAUUAAGUCAUUUGGUAUAACCAUGCAAAUACUGCUCUAAUGCCCCCUGCAGAAUGCAUACUUGGCAGCUGGCUAUCUAGUCUUGCACUGUCCAGCACAAGGUUAUGUGGCUAACUUAACACUUGAAAUAUGGCUAGUCUGAAUUGAAAUGUGGUAUAAGGGUAAAAUACAUGGAGGGUUUAAAAGACUUAGUCUGAAAAAAAAAAAAAGAAUUUAAUAAUAUUUUAGCUAUAUUGGUUUAAAUAAAAGAUAUAUUACAACUCAUUUUACCUUUUUUAAAAAAUGAUGCUACUAGAAAAUUUAAAAUUAUGUAUGUGGCUUGCAUUAUAUUUCUAAUGGGCAGAACUGGUUUUGCCUGUGUUGAAAACUCACUACCUUGUGAGGAGCAGAUUUCAUCUUUGAAUAGCUCUCACUGUUAUUUUUUUCUAUUUUUGUAUUAAUUGGCCUAUCUUUGAUGUUUAUAUUCAGAGGUUUUUGUUUUACCCUUUGAGACCAAAAAGGAUCACUGUCGAAUGAAUUAGAAUUGACUCGAUGGCACGCAACAGUAGUCCCUCUUAUCUACUAAUUAUUAUUUAAAAGUUAGACUCUGAUAUUGCCCUUAGUCUUUUAUCAUUAAUCAUUUCCAUUCCCUUUAAAUGAUGUUUAUGUGCAGGGGGUUGUGUCUGGCCAACCAUAUUUGUUGCUCUCCUCUGAACUUUCUUUGUUUUGCACUUAACCUGCCGAUACCAGGAACUGAAUAUCUUGCCCUCUUAAAAUUACAGAUCAGAACAGGUUUAUCUCCUGCCUUGUUCUACAUGGUAUAAACCAAUUGCCAUUGAGUCAGUUCUAAUCCCAUGUGUGUCACAAUAGAACUAAUGGCUAAUUUUUUGGAAGUCGAUUGCCAUGCCUUUCUUUUGAGGCACCUUUGGGUGGACUUGAACCUCAAGCCUUUUGAUUAGCAGCUGAGCCAUUAACCAUUUGCAUCACCAUUUAUAUUAAUCUGUUGUAGCCUAAAGUUAAAUGGUCUUUUUGGGCAAUUUUAUUUUCUUAAUUGACUGAUAGAUUAUACUGUCAACAACAAUGUCUAAGCCUUUUUCUCAUGUGCUGUUAAUUCCUUUCUUUGUCUUACUCAAUACUUUUUUAAUUAGAGGAACUACUCGAUUGAGUAGAUAAUAUAUGUUCAUUCUUGAUUCUGCAAUCCCAUUUUUUUAUAGUGUGACUUUAACAGAAACUUUGUCUUUCAAAUUCCAGUUUGAGGGUGAGGGAUAAGGACUUGUUUUGGAUUCACAUAUCCAUGUAUCCUACAUAUUUCCAUAUUAAAUUUCAUUUGAAUUCUGAGUGUGCCAUAUAAAAUACGUGUUACCUUUCUGAGGUUUUGCCAUCUGCAGGUUUGACAAGUAUACAUUCUGUGUCUUCAUCAAAUUGUUAUCUGGGCUUAAUUGAGGAUGGAUCACGGUGGUGUAUAAUUCUGCUGCUAUACAUACUAUUUUUUUUUUAUACAUACUACUUACCAGUUAUUAAUCCAUCUUUUCUUAUUAGUAUUCCAGCCAGUAUUUCUUGAUUUGUUCAUACUCUCAUCAUGACUGAGAUCUUAUUUCAUUUUUUUUUUUUCCUGUUGCUCAGCCUAGAUAGUAUCAACUGACCUAUUCUUCAGAUUCACUGAUUCUUCUACCAACUCAAAUCUGCAGUUGAGCUUGUCAAGUCAGUUUUUUCAUUUUAGUUAUUAUACUUUUCAGCUCCAGAUUUCUAUUUUAUUCUUUUUUGUGUAUAUAAUAUCUGUCUAUUGAUAUUCUCCGUUUGGUUUACAUUGUUCUCAUACUUUAGUUCCUGGACAUGACUUCCUUUAGUUCUUAGAAUGUAUUUAAACAAAGCAGAUUUAAAGUGCUAUUCUAAUGCCUGGGCUUUCUCAAGGAUAAUUUCUAUAGAUCUUCCUUGUAGCCUCCCCCCUCUAAAAAAACAAUCUGAGCCAUAAUUUCUUGUUUGUUUGCAUACCCCCUAAUUUUUUGUUGAAAACUGGACAUUUUGAAUAGUAUAAUAUGGCAGCUCAGGAAAUCAAAUUAUACCCUUUCCCCAAGGCUUACAGUUGUUUCUGUUCGUUUUUUGUUCAAUGACUUUUUUGAACUAAUUCUAUAAAGUCUGAAUUCUUUAACGUGGCUACUGAUGACUCUGUGUACUAUCUUACUGUUCAGUUAAUGAUUAGGUAUAAAUUUAAUUGACUGCCUGGAACCAGUCAAUCUCCCAUUGUUUGCCAGGCUCUGCAUGCUUGGUGGGGAAAGCCUUUAACACUCAGCCAGGCAGUUGACAACUCCACUUUAGCCUUCAGUUUUCCUGUUUGUGCAGAGCCUCAGGGUCUACCGGAAGUGAGAGCUUAGGGCUUUCUCAUGUCUUUCCUGAGCUUGCACACAGCUCUGAGCAUGCUCACAACUCUAUGCAAGUAUGUGACCUUCUGUUUUCCCCAGGAAUAUGUUGGAGCUUAUUAAAGCCCCUGUGGACAUAGGGUCACUAUGAAUCAGAAUCGACUUGAUGGCAGUGGAUUUGGUUUUGGUAUAGACAUCUCAUUCCCCAGAGUUUCCUUUUAAGCUCUUUGGUUAAUCUGUUGUUUACCCCAACCAUUUUCCACCACUUCAGGUGGCUGUAAUGUUAAACAGUUGCUUCUAUUAUUUUUAUUUAUUUUUUUAAUGUGGCCGUGGCAUGAAUGUGGUUUAUACCGUAUAACACAAAACUUACCAUUAGGGAAAUACAUAUACAAGACAAUACAAAAUUUACCAUUAUUGACAUUUAGUAUGUUCACAAUGUUUUUCAGCCAUUGCCACUAUCUAGUUCUCUAAUUGUUUUGACAUAGUCCUCUGAAGAAAAAUGAUUUUGCACUGGAUGAGCUCCAAAUCAGGUCAGAUAAAGCUAGCUUUGUAAAUGAGGUCUUCCAGGGAUAGAUCAAAUAAUGGUAGUUCUUUGGAAAUGGACUUUGAAGGAGCUCCAAGCCUGUUCUGCCCUCACUAGUUGCUGCCAGGCUGCUGCUUUUCACCAUGAUUGUAUGCAGUUGGUUUUAAGGCUCAAAGGCUCCUGUGGAGUUGGGUAGUGAGGGUUGAGAAUAGGACACAUUAAAAUGCAACAAAGGUCACUCUUUUUCACCAAGAUUCAGCUGAUUUUCUUGAAUAAGAGCUCCCUAAUUUCCUCAAGCCUUUGGUUAAUUCCAGAGUUGUGAAAAAGUUGAUUUUGACAAUCUUGUCAGUUUUCUUAUUGGAUUUAGUAGAAGAAAGGAUUUUCUGAGGUCCUUACUCUACCAGUUUCUCUGAAGUCACUCCAGUGUAUAUUCUUUUAAUUAUUUUCUAGUGCGUAUAUUAGAAAACAAAGAUACAUAAUUUAGAGGUGCAUAAUACUGUAUCAACUGUUUAAUAAUACUUUUCCCAUUUAGGAUAUCAUUAUUACUUGUCCGUAUCUAUUUUUCUAAAACUUUUUGGGGAGCUGUUUUUGUCCAGUUGUUUUUUUUACUGUUAGUUACAGUGCUUUGUUGAGUAUUCUUAUAUAUAAAUCUUAUGGAUUUCUGUGAUUAUAAUUUUGUGAAAGUGGAAUUUGCUAUGUAUAAGAGAAUGAAAACUUAAGCUUUUGGUGCAUAUGGUCAAAUUGGCCUUUAGGGCUGUGGUUGAAGUUUAGAUUUCACCAGUAAUGUAGUGCCUAUAUUCCUGUAUUGUUACACAGUACUGGUUGGUACCUACUAUUCAUUUCAAUUAACACUCUCCAAUAGAACUUUUGACAGUGAUAAAAAAUAUUCUGUAUUUGUGUGGUCUGGUAUAAUAGCUACUGACCACACGUGGCUGCUAAGCACUUGAAAUGUGACUAGUCCUAAUUGAGGUGUCCUGUAAUUGUAAAAUAUGUAUUGGAUUUCAAAGGUUAAGUACCAGAAAACCCCAGAACAUCCAGAAUGUAAAAUACUCAUUGAUGUGAAAUUGAGUCAUAAUAAUUUUUUACACUGAAUGCAUGUUGAGGUGAGUUACAUUGUGGAUAAAACUCAUUUGCCUCUGACUCACGGUGACCUCAUGAGUGUCAGAAUAGAACUGUGUUCCAUAGGGUUUUCAGUGGCUGAUUUUUUGGCAGUAGAUUGCCAGGACAUUCUUCCAAAGCACCUCUGGGUAGACUGGAACCUCCAACCUUUUGAUUAGCAACCGAACACAUUAAUUGUUUAUAUUACCCUGGAACUCUGUAUUGUGGAUCCACCACCCAGUUGCUGUUGAGUUGAGUCCAGCUCAUGGCAACUCCCUUUGUGUCAGAGUAGAACUGUGCUUCAUAGGGUUUUCAGUGCCUGAUUUUUUGGAAGUAGAUCACCAGGUUUUUCUUCUCAGGUACCUCUGGGUGUACUCAAACUUCCAACAUUUUGGUUAGCAGCUGAGUAUGUUAUAAUUACAUGGUAAAAUGUGUGCAUUUUGCACUUAACAGCACAUCUCAAUUUGGACUAUAUAUAUUUCAAGUGCUCAAUAGCUACAUGUACGCCUUGGCUACCUUGUUGUUGUAUGCCCUUGAUUCUGUUCCAACACAUAGCAACCAUGUAGCAACCUUCAUGAUCUGGCCUUUGCUUAAGUUCCCUUCUAGAAGCCACAGCUUCUAGAACCUGAACAUGAGUCAUAUUGAACUGUUUGCACUUGCCAUAAGAAAUCAUAGUCUCCUCUUGCUUUUGGGCCUUGGUACUUACCACUGCCUCUGAGAUCCAUAUUCCCCAACACCUAACCUCAUCUGUAAUUAGACUAAGGCCUGCUGUCCCUUCGGGACUUAGUUUAUAUUUCACUGAAUCCUUUACGCCAUCAGGAUAGGAUGAAGCACCCUUCCUUUUCUGUUCUUAUAGCUAUUCUUCUGUGCUUGCUCAUAUCAUGAUAUUUAUCACUGUUGUUGUUGUUGUUUAUCACUGUUGUUGUUAGGUGACUUGGAGUGGGUUCCGACACGUAGCAACACUAUGUACAACAGAAUGAAACACUGCCCAGUCCUGCACUGUCCUCACAAUUGUUAUUUAUCACUGUGUUAUUGUAAUUACCUUCUAAUUUAUCUUACAGUUAGAUUCUUAUCUUCAUAAGUAGGGGCCUUGUUUUUAUUAGCUUUUACAUCCCUAAUAGUUAACACACACAUAGCUGCCUGGCAUAUUGUAAAGUUUCAGUAACUGUAUGUUGAAUGAAAUGAAUGAAUGAAAAAUCAAGAUCUGAAUCCCAUGUUCAGAGCAAAGAAAAACAACCUUUAAAUUUUAAGUUAUCUCGUUCCUAUACUUGCUAAUGCUAUUGUUGUUAGGUACUGUUGAGCCAGUUCCGACUCAUAGCAACCCUAUGUACAGCAGAACGAAACACUGCCUGGUCCUGCACUGUCUUCACAAUCAUUGCAAUGCUUGAACCCAUUGUUGCAGCCACUGUGUCAAUCCAUCUUGUUGAAGGUCUUCCUCUUUUUUUGCUGACCCUCUGCUUCAUUAAGCAUGAUGUCCUUCUCCAGGGACUGGUAUCUCCUGAUAACAUGUCUAAAGUAUGUGAGAUGAAGUUGCCCUCCUUGCUUCUGAGGAGCAUUCUGGCUGUACGUCUUCCUAGACAGAUUUGUUAUUCUGGCAGUCCAUGGUAUAUUCGGUAUCCUUCGCCAACAUCAUAAUGUGCUCAUAGAGUUAAAUAUUAGAAUCUGUUAAACAGAUUAAGCAAUAAUGGAUUAAGGAGACAAAAGUUGGUUCCAUCAGUACACAAUUGCUCAGUUCAGUAAAAAGGGAGGAGCUGGGAGCAUGCAAACUAAGGCAUGAGACUUAAAAGGCGGGGGGGGGGGGUCAAAGCAAAUAUUUGGGAUAUACCUAUGUAAUCUUGUAACACUUUACUGUUCUUGUUACAUUAAAUCUAGAAUCUAGAUAUUUUUAUACCAGUUAUAUUUAAAAUUUGUUAAACAUUUAAAUCAUGAAGUUCUUUAAUUUUUCCCUUGAGCUAUGUAAGAGAUAGUAGGAAUUUGACUAAGAAGUACCAGACAGCUGUAUCUAUAUGUAUGAAAUAGGCUCUCGUUAGGACUGCUAAGGUGUGGACAAGUGAAUUUAUGCAUCAAUAAUAUUUUCCUUAGUGGUCUGUAGUUGUUUUCCAUAUUUAGAAUUGCCUAAACUUUAAGAGAAACAAAAAAAAUUUUUUUUGUCAAUAUACAAAACAAUGUAUAUAUUAAAUCCAAAGAGAACAACUUGAACUUAGCUAUUUAGGAAACAUCAAAUAAAUGUUUAUCUUUGAAAUUUAAAGUUUUUGAAGGUAAACUUCGGAUCUUUAUGGCAUUUUUUUUGUGGUUAUAAACACAGAAAUAGAAUUCUGAUCAUAUUAAGUUAGUUUGGAGUGUACGUGAUUAUGCCUAACCAUUUUAGUUUUCUAUUGAAAGUCUAAUUUUGUACAGAUAGAGGAAAUUUGAAGUUUUAUAGUACAUAGAUGCCUUCCAGCAUCACCUUUUAAUUUUACUCAGAUUUUUGUUGUUGUUGUUCCUGAAAAUAUAUUUAGCAGUUUUCCAAAUAAGUUGCUGCUUUUCUGUAUUGGAAGAUUUGUUACAGGAAGUAUUAAUAUCUGAACCUUUAAAAAUUACAGUGCGAUUUCAGAUCCCAAAGUUUUGCUAAGGAAUUCUUAAGUGUUCCAGUCACUUAUUGAAACCUGUUUGAAACAUGUUAUGCUUUGAUUUUAAUUGGUUCCUAGAAAUAGCUUAAGUAAGUGCAACACUGAAGUUACUGGAUAUUGUGCUUACGUUGAUUAUUCCACAGGAGUGAGACAUCAAGCAAGAGUCAUAGUUUAAUUUUCUUAAAAAUGAAUUUUGACAUAGUAAUUAAAAAGAAUUUUGUAAAUAUGUGCUUUCAGAAAAAUUAUUUGAUAACCUGUUUCUUGUUUAUGUUACUGAUAUUUGCCGCCAAGCACUGCUUUCAAGCCCUAAGGGUAUUUUGGUAGAAGCCUGGGUGAAUACACUUAUCUCUCUUCACAUGCAUGUAAAUGUCACAGUCUUAUCACCCACAUCUAGAAAUAAUGUUUCCUUAUCCAGAGAUUAUAUUUCACACUCAUACUGUGAACAUUUUGUUAGUCUGGAGAAAAAUCAGUGAAUGGGUUUUCUUUAGUUGAUUUUAGAAUAUUAGCAAAUUCUCUAAAUAGUAGUUUGGGGCCAAAUACUAUUUAGAUACAUAUUUGUGUAUAGCGGGAUACUUUGGUAUUAAUUCUGGGAUAAUUUGGUUUUUUUACAAUAGCCAAAUCAUUUUUUGGACAAAGAUUCUUCCUCAGAAGAAAUUUUCCUGAAAGUGUAAUUUAGUCAUUCAGCUUUUUGAGUAUCUACCGUGUAUCAGAAAACCCUGGUGGUAUAGUGCUUAAGAGCUACAGCUGCUAACCAAAAGGUCAGCAGUUGGAAUCCACCAGGUGCUCCUUGGAAACUCCAUGGGGCAGUUCUUACUCUGUCCCAUAGAGUCGCUAUGAGUUGGAAUUGACUUGAUGGCGCUGGGUUUGGUUUUUUGGUUUUACUAUGUAUCAGCACUUUCCUGGGAAUAUAGAGAUGGAAAAGACAAGAUUUCUUUCCUCUGAGAAGUCAGUUGCAUGAGGGGAGACUGGCAAAUAAACCAUAUUUAAAAUAUUGUAAUAGGUACAAAGAAUUGUCUAUUUUCAACCCAGUCAUAGUUCUUCCUUACUGUGUUAACUGAAGCUGUUCUUGUCAAAAGUUAACAGUAACUUUCUCAUUUCCAAAUUUUGUGGUCAUGUCGUGGUGGUUAAGUGCUACAGGUGUUAACUAAGAGGUUGGCAGUUCAGAUCCACUGGGCGCUCCUUGGAAACUCUAUGGGGGCAGUUCUACUCUGUCCUGCAGGGUCGCUAUGAGUCAAAAUCGACUCAGCGACAGUGGGUUUGGUUUUUUGGUGUGGUCUCUGUUAUUUCAUUUGACCUGUCAGUAGCAUUCAACACAAUUGAAUAACUGCUCUGUCCUUAAGAUGGCCCGGAUUUUCCUCCCAUCUUACAAGCUGACCUUUCUCUGUUGUCUUUGUUAUCUCUUUCUCUUCUCAGCUUCUUUUUUUUGGAGUGCUCCGGGGCUAUCUUGACCCCCUCUUCCUGGGAAUCCAGUCCUCUCCCAGUACCAUCUAUAUGCUGAUAAUUCCUGAAUCUGUAUCUCCAGCACCAGCUAACCCUGGAACUUCUGGACUCUACUGAGCAAUUCUUGAAUAGGCACCUCAAAUUUAAGUGUUCAAAGCUGUUUUGAUUUGGAGAUUUCAUCUCUUGCUGCCCAAUCUUUUUCUGCCCCAUUGUUCCCUAUAUUCCUAAGAAAUAUCACUAGCCACUCAGUUGUUUAAGCCAAAAGGAGUUAUCUUUAGUUCCUGUUUCCCUUACCCAUCACAUUCAAUCCUUUAGCAAUGUUGCUGUCAAUUCUAUCUUCAAAACAUAUUCUGAAUUCUUCCUAUCUCUCAUUGCUUCUAUACCAUCUUGGUUCAGUGUACCCAUUCUUUCCGGGACUAUUACAGUAGCCUCUUUACUAGUUCCCUUAUUCUUUUCCUUCUUCACUUAGCAAUGAGAGCUAUCUUUAAAAUGCAAAUCAGGUCAAGUCACUCUCCUGUGUAAAACCCUCCACUGACUCCCCAUCAUGCUGAAAAUAACAUCCAAAUGUCUUACUUUGAGUCCCACAUGAUCUGGCCCCUACCUGCCUCCCUGACCUCGUUUCCUACCACUCAUUCUCUUGUCCACUACUUCAUUUCAUUGUAGUUCACUUACCUUCCGUUUGUUCCUGAAAAGUGCCAGGUUCAUCCCCACAUAAGGGUCUGCUCCUUUGCCUGCAAUGCCUUACCCCAUUCUUAAUUCAGUCCUAAAAUCCUGCCAUGUGUCAGAAACUGUUCCAGGAGCUAAGGAUAAAGCAAUGACUAAGACACGAAUUUUUUUUUUUUUUUUAAGACACGGGUAGACUCUAAGGUGUUUUGUUACGCCUUCUGUCUAGUGGGUUCCUUGAAGAUGGAAAAGUUUCUCUGAAACUUUUAAACUCCCUGAGAUGACUUCCUCUUUUUUUUUUUUUUUAGUUUUAUAUGAAAGUUUACAGUGCAAAUUAGUUUCUAUUUAAAAAUUUAUUCACAAUUGUUUUGUGACAUUGGUUGCAAUUCCCACAAUGUAUCAAAACUCUCCCCCUUUCCCUUUACAACUCAGGUUCCCGUAUCCAUUCGUCCAGAUUUCCUGCCCCUUCCUGCCUUCUUGUCUUUGCUUUUAUGCAAGUGUUGCCUAUUUAGUCUCAUACACUUGAUUGAACUAAGAGGCAGGUUCUUCACGUGUGUUAUUGUUUGUUUCAUAGGCCUGUCUAACCUUUGACUGAAAGGUGGACUUACAGAGUGGCUUCAGUUCUGAGUUAGCAGGGUGUCCCGGGGCCACAGUCUUGAGGGUUCCUCCAGUCUGUCAGACCAGUAAGUCUGGUCUUUUUUUUUUUGUGUGAAUUUGAAUAUUGUUCUACAUUUUUCUCCCACUCUGUGCAGGACUCUCUGUGUUAUGAUCCCUGUCAGAGUGGUCAAUGGUGGUAGCUGAGCACCAUCUAUUUCUUCUGGGUUCAGGCUGAUGAAGGCUAUGGUUCAUGUGGUCCAUUAGUCCUUAGGACAGAGUAGAACUGCCCUGUAGGGUAUCCAAGGAGUGCCUGGUGGAUUCGAACUGCUGACCUUUUGGUUAGCAGCUGUAGUUUCUUAACCACUAUGCUACCAGGGUUUCCAUUAGUCCUUUGGACGGUUGUUUUCCUUGUAUCUUUGGUUUUCUUCAUUCUCCUUUGCUCCAAAGGUGAUGGAACCAAUAGAUGUAUCUUAGAUGGCCACUCAAGCUUUGAAGACCCCAGACAUUACUCAUCAAAGCAGGAUGUAGAACAUUUUCUUUUUGAACUACAUUGUGCCAGUUGACCUAGCUAUCCCCCGAGACUGUGGUCCUCAGCCAUUGAUCCCAAUAACUCGUUGCCUCAAGGUGUUUAGAUGUAUCUAGGAAGUUUCUGUGCCUUUGUCUUUGUCAAGUUGUGCUGACUUUCCACAUAUUGUGUGUUGUCUUUCCUUUCACCAAAGCUAACAUUUGGCUGUUAUCUAAUUAGUGAUUUCCCCUCCCUGCCCUCCCCUCCCUUGUAAGCAUCAAAGAUUUUUUUUGUAUGUGUAAGCCUCUUCUUGGGUUUUUAUAAUGGUUGUCUCAUACACUAUUUGUCCUUUUUUUGACUGACUUAUUUCACUCAGCAUAAUGCCCUCCAGAUUCAUCCAUGUUGUGAGACGUUUUGCAGAUUCUUCAUUGUUCUUUAUCAUUGCAUAGUAUUCCAUUGUGUGUAUGUACCAUAAUUCGUUUACCCAUUCAUCUGUUGAUGGGCACUUAGGUUCUUUCCAUCUUUUUGCUAUUGUGAAUAAUGGUACAAUGAACGUGAGUGUGCAUAUGACUAUUUGUGUGGUGGCUCUUAUUUUUCUAGUGUAUAUUCCUAGGAAUGGGAUUGCUGGAUCAUAUGGUAUUUCUAUUUCUAGCUUUUUAAGGAGGUACUGUAUUGUUUUCCAUAGUGGCUAUGCCAUUUUACAUUCUCAUCAGCAGUGCAUAAGAGUUCCAGUCUUGCCACAACCUCUCCAACAUUUGUUAUUUUCUGUUUUUUUUUUUUUUGAUUCAUGCCAGUAAAGUUGGAGUGAGAUGGUAUCUCACUGUAGUUUUGAUUUGCAUUUCUCUACUGGCUAAUGAUCGCAAGCAUUUCUUCAUGUGUCUGUAAGCUGCCUAAAUGUCUUCUGUGAUGAAAUGUCUGUUAUAUCCUUUGCCCAUUUUUUAAUUGGAUUAUUUAUUGUCUUUUAAUUGAAAUGUUGAAGUAUUCUAUAGAUUUUAGAGGUUAGACCCUUAUCAGAUAUGUUGUAGACAAAAUUUUUUUCCCAGUCUGUAGAUCCUCUUUUUAACCUUUUGAUGAAGUCUUUCCAUGAGCAUGUUUAAUUUUUAGGAGCUCCCAGUUAUCUAGUUUAUCUUCUGGUGUUUGUGCAUUGUUAGUUAUGGUUUGUAUUGAAUUUCAUGCUGUGUAUUAGGGCCCCUAGCAUUGUCCCUAUUUUUUCUUCCAUGAUCUUUAUCAUUUUAGGUUUUACAUUUAGGUCUUUGAUCCAUUUUGAGUGAGCUUUUGUGUAUGGUGUGAGGUAUGGGUCCUGUUCCGUUUUUUUUUUUUUAGAUAGACAUCCAGUUUUGCCAGCACCAUUUGUUAAAGAGAUUGCCUUUUCCCAAUUUAAUGGACUUUGGCCCUUUGUCAAAGAUCAGCUGACCGUAGAUGGAUGGAUUUAUAUCUGGGUUCUUGAUUUCAUUCCAUUGGUCUGUGUGUCUGUCAUUGUACCAGUACCAGGCAGCUUUGACUACUGUGGCUAUGUGGUAGGUUCUGAGAUCAGGUAGUAAGAGGCCUCCUACUUUCCUCUUUUUCUUCAGUAAUGCUUUGUUUAUUUGGGGCCUCUUCCCUUUGUGUAUAAAGUUGGUGGUUAGUUUUUCCAUCUCAUUAAAGAAUGCCGUUGGUGUUUGGAUCAGUAUUGCAUUAUAUCUUGCUUUGGAUAGAAUUGACAUUUUCACAAUGUUGAGUCUUCCUAUCCAUGACCAUGGUAUGUUUUUCCAUUUGUGUAGGUCUCUUUUGGUUUCUUGCGUUAAUGUUUUAUAGUUUGUAUAGGUCUUUUACAUCCCUGGUUAGAAUUUAUUCCUAAGUAUUUUAUCUUUUUAGGGGCUAUUAUAAUAAAUGGUAUUAUUUUCCUGAUUCCCUUUUCGAAGCUCUCUUUGUUGCUGUAUGAGAAUCCAGCUGAUUUUUGUGUGUUGAUCUUGUAUCCUGCUACUCUGCUGAAUCCUUCUAUUAGUUCCAGUAGUUUUCUUAUGGAAUCUUUGAGAUUCUCUAUGUAUAGGAUCAUGUCAUCGGUGAAUAGGAAUAGUUUUACUCCUUUUUUUCCAAUUUGGAUUUACUUUCUUUUUCUUGCCUUACUGCUGUAGCUAGGUCUUCCAACACAAUGUUAAAUAGGAGUAUUGAUAAAGGACAUCUUUGUCUUGUUCCUGUGCCCAAGGGGAAUGCAUUCAGUCUUUCUCCAUUGAGAAUGAUGUUAGCUGUUGGUUUGGUAUAGAUGUUUUUUUAUUAUGUUGAGGAAUUUCCCUUCAAUUCCUAUUUUAUUGAGAGUUUUUAUCAGGAAUGGGCAUUGGACUUUAUCAAAUGCCUUUUGUGCAUUGAUUGAGAUGAUCAUAUGAAUCUCUUCUUUUGUUCUACUUAUGUGGUGGGUUAUAUUGAUUGAUUUUCUAAUGUUGAACCAUCCUUGCGUAACUGGUAUGAAUCUCAUUUGGUUAUGUAUGGUGUGUUAUUUUUUUGAUAUGAUGCUGAAUUCUGUCAGCUAGAAUUUUGUUGAGAAUUUUUGCAUGUAUAUUCAUGAGAGACAUUGGUCUGUAAUUUUCUUUUUUGUUGUGUAUUUGCCUGGCUUUGUUGGCAGGGUUAUGCUGGCUUCAUAGAAUUAAUUUGGGAGUAUGCCUUCAUUUUCUAUGCUCUGAAAUAGUUUGAGUAGUACUGGUGUGAGCUCUUCUCUGAGUGGUAGAAUUCUCCAAUGAUGCUGUUCGGGCCAGGGCCUUUUUUUUGUUGGGAGUUUUUUUUUUUUAUUAUUAUUAUUACCUCUUAAAUCUCUUCUCUUGUUAUUUGCCCAGAUUUUCUAUUUCAGUUUGUGUCAGUUUAGGUAGGUAGUAUAUUUCUAGAAAAUCUUCCAUUUUCUCUUGGUUCUCAAAUUUGUUGGGCUUCCUCUUUUUUUGAUGCCACAAUUUAUGUAAUUUAUUUAUUUCUUAAUCUUGAUGAAGCCCAACAAAUUUGAGAACAUUUGUUAUAGGUGUGUACAUUUUGG